rnacentral:lncRNA from 1 species
UUAAAAUUAAAAGGGAGAAAAAAGAAAAACUAACUAAAGAGCCAGCGCAUUAAUCUGUCACGCCUCGAGGUCUGAACCAGUGCAUUAAUCUGCCACGCCUCGGGAUCCCUUUUUGAAAGUCAAUUUGAAAUCGGGCUGCUUUUAUAAAUCAGAGUAAGCGAAAAACUGUCCAUUAUUUUUUAAAAAAAAUCUUGAACCCCAAGGGUGCAACAGAUUCACCACAAAUAUAGUAAAUUUUCGAAAACAAGCAGACAAAAUCUCCUCUAUAUUUGCACGGCGUAGCAUAUAGUAUAAUUGAACAACCCGAUCUUCCUUCACACACACAACAAAAGAUGUAUAAGGAUCAACUCAUUUCAAUAUACAAUUAGCCGUCCUUAGUCACAUCCAUUUCACAUUCAUCCUAAUAGUUAAAAGUGUCUCCCACACGAAAGCUUUUUCUUUAAAAUUUUAACUUUACGAAAAAUGAAAAAUAAUUUUAAAAAUUAUUUUCACAUGGAAACCUUUAUUUUGAAAACACUACCACAAGGGAUAGAAUACCACAUUCCAAGAUUCGCAUCCAAAGCCAUGU